CUUGAACGCUGGCGGCAGGCCUAACACAUGCAAGUCGAACGAGUGGCGGACGGGUGAGUAAUGUCUGGGAAACUGCCCGAUGGAGGGGGAUAACUACUGGAAACGGUAGCUAAUAACGCAUACCAUCGGAUGUGCCCAGAUGGGAUUAGCUAGUAGGGUGGGUAACGGCUCACAUAGGCGACGCUCCCGAGCUGGUCUGACAGGAUGACCGGCCACACUGGAACUUCGACACGGUCCAGACUCCUACGGGAGGAAGCAGUGGGGAAUAUUGCACAAUGGGCGCAAGCCUGAGGCAGCAAUGCCGCGGGGAUGAAGAAGGCCUUCGGGUUGGAGAGUACUUUCAGCGGUGAGGCGUUACCCGCAGAAGAAGCACCGGCUAACUCCGUGCCAGCAGCCGCGGUAAUUC
rnacentral:rRNA from 1 species